UAAAGAUUAAGCCAUGCAUGUAUCAGUACAAGCCACACUAAGGUGAAACCGCGAAUGGCUCAUUAAAUCAGUUAUUAUUUCCUGGCCGAGACAGUGAUACAUGGAUAACUGUGGUAAUUCUAGAGCUAAUACAUGCAACCGAGCCCCAGUGUCUGCUCUCGGGCAGGCCGGGGCGCUUUUAUUGGCUGAAAACCGAUGACCGCCCUCGUGGCGGUCGUUCUCCGAUGAAUCACAAUAACAUUGUGUGGAUCGUACGGUCUUGUACCGACGACGCGCCUUUCAAAUAUCUGCCUUAUCAGCUCUCGACGGUUUGCUAGUGGCUGACCGUGGCUCUGACGGGUAACGGGGAAUCUGGGUUCGGUUCCGGAGAGGGAGCCUGAGAGAUGGCUACCACAUCU
rnacentral:rRNA from 1 species